rnacentral:rRNA from 1 species
GAUGAACGCUAGCGGCAGGCUUAAUACAUGCAAGUCGAGGGGCAGCAGGUUUGUAGCAAUACAGAUGCUGGCGACCGGCAAACGGGUGCGGAACACGUACAGAACCUUCCUUCGAGCGGGGAAUAGCCCAGAGAAAUUUGGAUUAAUACCCCAUAGCAUUAUGGAGUGGCAUCACUUUAUAAUUAAAGAUUUACCUACUUGAAGAUGGCUGUGCGGCUGANAGUAUAGUUGGUGAGGUAACGGCUCACCAAGUCUACGAUCAGUAACUGGUGUGAGAGCACGACCAGUCACACGGGCACUGAGACACGGGCCCGACUCCUACGGGAGGCAGCAGUAAGGAAUAUUGGUCAAUGGACGCAAGUCUGAACCAGCCAUGCCGCGUGGA